rnacentral:rRNA from 1 species
GACGAACGCUGGGCCGGCGUGCUUAAUACAUGCAAGUCGAGCGAGGUUAUUUGUUUCAAAGUCCUUCGGGGUGGACGUAAAUUUUAACCUAGCGGCGGACGGGUGAAGUAACGCGUGGGCAACCUGCCCUAAAGCCCGGGAUAACAGUGGGAAACUACUGCUAACACCGGAUGGUCUCAUUUUGUGGCAUCAUAAGAUGAGUAAAGGUUACGCUUUAGGAUGGGCCCGCGUCCCAUUAGCUAGUUGGUGAGGUAACUGCUCACCAGGGCGACGAUGGGUAGCCGGCCUGAGAGGGUGGACGGCCACACUGGGACUGAGACACGGCCCAGACUCCUACGGGAGGCAGCAGUAGGGAAUAUUGCGCAAUGGAGGGAACUCUGACGCAGCGACGCCGCGUGAGCGAUGAAGGUCUUCGGAUCGUAAAGCUCUGUCCUCAGGGAAGAAGGUUAUUAACUUGACGGUACCUGAGGAGGAAGCCCCGGCUAACUACGUG